rnacentral:lncRNA from 1 species
AAGGAGUGAAUGAAUGUUGUAUUUUAUUGAUUGCAAAAUGAUCCAAAACAUAUAAUUUACAUGAAUGAAAAAUCUACAAAUUUUGCAUCAUUUUUUUCAACUCAUGCAUGUUAAUAUUAAUGGGAACUGCCGUAGGAAAGUCAAAAUCAAUGGGGGCAAAGGCUAAACUAUGCAUUGGACUUGGUUGUGUUGAGUUCUCUCUUGAAGUCAUAAUUUCUUCAAGAUUUUGUUUGUCUUUCGACUCCCCCCAUUCCUUGAUUUCUCUAGCUAAUUUUGAAAGCACUGGAUAUUGUAUUUCAUUAUUCUUCCACCAAUCCAACGAGCAGAUCUUUGUUCUAAGAUCCUGUAUCGGCUAUCGAAGAAAACACUUAAGCUCUUUUUGAGAAAUUGUUCUGUGUAUUGAAGGAUGCACCCUGUCCCAAGCAUUUAAAUCAAAAAAGUAAUCAGGAUAACUACUAUGUGCAUGCCUUUUAGAAGAUGAUGACUCCUCAGGAGAUUGAGGAUUGACAAUUGGAAUGAUAUUUACCGAUAUGGCUUCAUCAAGUAAAACAGCAUAAUGGCUAUAUAAUGCUUCCAUGUAACUGUUCGCAUCACUCAUAGCCGUAAAUAAAAAAAGUUCUUAAGGUUGUAUCUCUAAAGCAUUAUAAAUAAUAGAACUAAAUUCGAUCAUAGUAUUAUAUUUCAUACAUGGAUUUACUAUAGCACCAAUCAAAUAAAUUGGGAGAAACAGAUAAAAAUAUUUUUUAAAUUUAGCAAUCAUAGCAAUAAUAGCUUCUUUGUAACCCUCUUUAUUCUUAUAUUCGUUAAGCAAAUAGGAAUGUCGGCUAAAUAAACGAAAAUAUUACAAACAAUAGGAUAAUAAGAACCAAAGAAUUCAACCGUAGCUACAUAAAUUUUUGAACAAUUGCAGCUCAAUCAGAAUCAUGUAGCAUAUACUCAGAAAAGAAUCAGAAUAUAGAUUAAAAGUCAUUGUAAUAGGAACUUUUUAAGCAAGACAAGUCUUUAAAUAAGUAUAAGUAGCAUUCCAUCUAGUAUCACAUUCUUCAGGCAUAAAUAUCAGUCUAAAUCCAUUUUGUUCACAUUUGGUUUUAAAUUUUCGCACUUUAGCUUUUUUAUUAUUUUCUUGAAUAAAGCCAACAAUCAGCCGAACCUUUUCAGUAUAAAGCUCAAAAAAAAUUCAAGACCAUCUCUAAAAUUUAAAUUAUAUAUAUGACUAGAACACUUAACAGGAAAUAUUUCGAGUAACGACGGAGAAAGUUCAACUUUCAACAACUCAACAACAGCUUUGCUGUUAGAUGCAUAAUCAAAAGCUAUACAUGAAACUUUUCUUUCAAUACCAUAAUAUUUUGCAACUUUAGAAAUAGAUUCAGAAAUAAAUCUUUCAGUACGUCUACGAUCUUCAUCAUACAAAAAGGCCAGAUACAUUUUUGCAUAUCAAAAUUACUAUCUAUCCAGUGACAAAUAAUUGUUAAAUAAUCAUUUUUGUUAACAGCAUGAUCAAGAUCAGAAGUUAGAGUAAUUCUACAUGGAAUAAUUUUUAAUAAUGCAGAUAAAUAAUAAAUAUAUUGUGCAUGGAGUUUAAAAAUAUCGGCCCGACAAGUACUUCUAGGAAUACCGGUAAACAUAGAAUUAUAAAUUGUUUGAAUAUAAUGAAUAAAAACAUUUGAAGAAGCAAAAGUGAAAGGCAAACAACCCACAACUAUCAUUUUCGCUAUUUCUUGCCGGCCCUUCAUUUUAUUAUAAUUUUUAACUAAUUGACCGGUUGUGGCUUCAAUCUAGUUUGUGUUAGCCCACCAACAGUCUCACCACCUUGUGCAAUAGUUAACUCUCUUGAGUGUCUAUCUCUUAAAUAUUUCAUCAAUGAACUCGUGCUCCCUUUAUUGCCUCCAAUUUUAUGCUCAUAUAUAAUUUUACAAAUAUUGCAUUGCACCUUAGUUUCUCCUUCUAUUUUCGAAAAAAAAUUUCAUGCAAUACUAGUUUUUUUACGAGAUCUUGCAGGGGCACGAAGGGGAGGACAAGGAGGAAGAUUAACCGAUUUGGAUCUAAUAUUAACAUUUCUGACUUUGGGUGUCUCACCAAUAUUUUCAUCAUCUUCAUCUAAAUUAACCACGUCUACUUCAUUCUCUUCUUCUAUACCAUAAUUUUUCCAAGCUGCUAAAUAAUUCAUAUCGUGAGCACCUACACCUAUUUCUUCCUCAAAAAGUUGACUAACUGAUACCGGAGGCACACAUGUAUAUCUAGUACUUGAAGUACCUCUAUAGGAGCCGCCACCAAUUCAUUUUUUGCUAUCAUAACCACUUUUGGAACAAAAAUUUUUGACACUUUCACCAAUGUUUCUUGAUUUAUCCAUAUCAUAAAUCAAACUAAAAAAUAUUUAAAAUACACAAAAAUAAAUAUUCAGCAAUUAAUACACUAAUUAAAAAUUAAAAGUAAGAGAUGGAACAACAAUACCAAAUUUUGAAAGUAUCCAAAAGUUGCGAUUUUAGAAAACUUUCACUUGAUAUUUGUAAUUCCAAAAUUAAAAAAUAAAAUUGAGCACUUUAUGAGAUAAUUAGAAUAUUUGAGAGAGAUUGAAUUUUGAGAGAAAGAGAUUUGUGUGAAAAAUAAUUUGAAAUUAUAGGGUAUUUAUAGAAAAUUUUUUAAUUAAUUUUUUUUAAUAAAAUAUGCCAAAAAUGCCAAUUGGCCGUUGGGGCUCCAAACGGCUAUAAAGUCGUUGGGCCUCAAUGGUGGGGUUCAUACGACUAAAUGCCAAUUAUUUUUUUUUAAAUUUUUGUUACCGGGCCGGGUAAUCGGUGGGCCUGAUUUGGGUUUGGAACUGGGCCGGUCCACCGAGCCUGUCAACGUAGACGGCCCAGCCCAAGACCGGCAGCCCAAUAGCACGGAGGCUCAUCGGGUCGGGUCGAACUAGGUCGGGACAAGUUUAGAUUCAGAAAAGGCUCGAUCACAAAGGUCUAUCAUAUGCAAUUUUAACUUUCAUUUUUGCAAGAGGCUAUUUUUAAAGCUUGAACCCAUAAUUUCCUGAUCACAUAACAACAACUUUAAUAUUCUUAUGCUGUAAUCAAAUAGAAAAAAUGUUUAUAAAGGAUGCUACAGAAAGGGUGAUGAGAAUAUGUUCCAUAUCAAUUUAUUAUGUAUAAACAAAUUUUAUUAUGAGAAAAGUUUUCAAUAUAGAAAAGGUUUCACUAUGAGAAAAGUUCUUAUAAAAGAAUACUUUGUCAAAAGAGUGCAAGUUCUAUACCAAAUCAAGAAAUAGAAAUAUUAUUGACAAGUAAUUAUAUUCUUGUUUUGUUUAUUGUAAUUUGAGGUUUUUGAGAAAAAUUUCAACACUAGCGCCAUAAUCCAAUUUGUUAGUGAGUUCUAUUGAUCAAGGAGUUGAUAAAAAAAGAUCGAUAUCAGUCUAGAUAUGCAUAAAGUCUCCAUAAUAUCAAAGAAUUUUGACUUGCAAAUCUCUUCUAUGUUUUAUAAUACUUAUGGGUGCCGUAUUUAUGUUAUGUAAUCUGCUUCUGUGCUUUACUAUGUGUUUGUGUGGUAUCUCGUGCCUUGAGCCGGGGGUCUUUCGGAAACAGCCUUUCUGCUUCAUCAGAGGUAGAGGUAUGGACUGCGUACUUCUUACCCCCCAGACCUCACUAGAUGGGAAUACACUGGGUUUGUUGUUGUUGUUGAAAUCUCUUCUACCAGGUUUAUCUUGAAAAUUUUAAACAUAAAUAGAUCUAUUUAGGGUUGCUUAUUGUCUUUUGUUAAAAAAGGUCAGCCCGAUGCACUAAAGCUUCUGCUAUGUACAGGAUUCGGAAAAGGGCCUAACUAUAAAGGUCUCUUGUACGCAACCUUACCUUACAUCUUUGCUAAAAGUUGUUUUCAAAGCUUAAACCUGUGAUGCCUUGAUCACAUGAUAACAACUUUAUCAAUUCGCUUAUUGUCUUCUGUUACGUGUUAUAACUUUUAAACACCUUGCAAUCCUACGUUGUUGACUCAAAAUUGUGUGACGUGGGUCCAAUAAAUUGUGAAACAAAAACGAAGUCAUGCGCAAACUAAUAUCAAUUUGUGUGAGGUACAUAGUAAAUUUUGGUAUUAGGGAAAAUGAGUUCGGAUAGCAUGGAAAGUGUGGGAUGGUGGAGAGACGUGAUGUGGCGGAAUGUGUCAGUAGGAAGGCUAAAUGGCACCUUCUCUUUUAGGAACUGUUUCAAAGAAUGCCAUGUCAAUUAUGAGGACAAAGACGAAAAGGAGAACACAAGUGUUAGGCAAUUUAGGUGUGGCAGUAAAUCUAGUACGGCGCCGAGUAUAACUAGAAUAUUGGCUGGCAGAAAUAAUGAAGAGCCACAUGGCACACUCUGAUUAGUCUGUAACCAUAGGCAUUGUAGAAAUUUUACAAACAACGGUCUCAUUCAUAUAAUAUAUGGAUAAAUAUUUCCCCCCUGAAGAUUAUAACAUUGGACUAUCAAUUUAUCUUUUUCUUUCAUCAUGUCAUGCUAAAUACAGCUUCAACCCUAAGCGAUGAGAACUUUGGCCGUCGGUCAACUAUCUAUGGUGACUGGCCAUCCUUUUACCUCAACAUCUUUUCCAACUUUAACCCCUGAAGCUGAUGAAACCACUUCUAUGAACCCUAAUCUGCCUAUUGAGAAUUAUGCAAUGGCAGUGACAAGUAAUAUUCAACAAUCAAAUAUCAUUCCUCGCAAAGAAGUUUUAUUGGUGGAAGGAGUACCACAUAAUAAAUGGACAGAGGAGGAGGUGGAUAGAAUGAACAUGAUUGAGAAUUUUCAAUAUGCAGUAAUAGGCAAAUUCACGUAUGAAUGGCUAGAUCUUAAAGAAUUGAGGUUGAUUAUACCUCAACAAUGUGAUAUCAAAGGAGAUUGUCAAAUCGGUCUAUUUCGUAGUAAACACGUUCUCAUACGCCUUACAAAACAUACUGAUUUUAUUAAUCUGAUAUCUAAAGGAGUUUUUUUAUAUUAAGUGCAAAGAUGGGUAUUCAUAUCUCAUGCGCACUUUAAUUUAUGAUGCAAGAUUCAAAAUUAAUGAAGAAACCAGUAAAGCGAUGGCAUGGAUAUCAUUUCCCAACCUUCUGCCCACCUAUUUUGUUAAAGAAUGCUUAUUUUUUUUAGCUUCCACAGUUGGGAAACCCCUCCAACUUGAUCUAGCCACAAUUAAUAAAACUAGACCAAGUUGCGCAAGGGUAAAGGUGUUGAUUGAUUUAAAAGGAAAUUUCCCGAAAUCAGUUGUUAUGGAUACUGUUAAUGAAGAAAUGGGGGAGCAGAGGACUGAAAUUAUCCUUAUCGAAUCUGAUUAUCUUUCUAAAUAUUGUGAAGAGAGUAAAAUGCAAGGACACGAUGACGAUGAAUGCAGAAAGAGUCACAAAGGUAAAUAUGGAGAUAAGGUGAAGGUUAUAGAUAAGAAAAGAGAGGAGAAGCGGGAGCAAAUUAUUAAGAAUCACACACCAAAACCUUGGGUUCAUAAAUUCCAGAAAGAAAAAGCUAAAAUUCUAUCAAGUGGUAAGGUGGUGGGUGACCCAGGUAUAUGGAAUAUGGUAAAAGGAUAGAAAUCCUAGCAAGCAGAAACAUACAGUGUCUAGUACACUUCUAGUGGUGAGCAAUAGAUUUGAUAUGUUGAAAGAGGAGGAAGGGUUAUUCCCUAAUACUACAAACAAGGCCAUUGAUAACAAUAAUGAUAGUUCAACACAUACAAUGGAAAAGAAUGAUGAUAACAAACAAAAAGUUGACAAUAAAUCAGAUAAAGAAAAUAUACAGAAAAGAGAAUCAACCAAAGAAUGGGUUAAUCAUGUUUUUGGCAAACAAGAUACCAUGGCAAUUGAUUCCACAAUUAUCACAAGCCCCGUUAUACACCAGCAAAACAAUGAUGAGCAAAAUGUGACUUAUGGGAGAAAUGAUAGUGAUGAGGAUAUCAGAUCAACAGAUAAUGUGGAGCUUAUAGAGAGUGAUGUACCACAGAAAGAAGAGGCUAAUAAUACAAACUUGAUUUGUAUUGAUCAAAUAUUGAGUGGUGUUGAAUCUGCAAUAGCAAAACCUGCAACAAAUCAAGUAAAGAAUAUUGAACAAUCUUACAGGGAUGAAAAUAAUUAAGAGAUAGCAAAUGAAGGCAAAAUACGAGGGCAAAUCGGAGAAGAGAAACCUGGUAGUGCUAUGAGUAUAGGCUUCUACGACGCAUGCAGUUUUGUAGAUAAAAAACAGAGGAUCUACAGGCAGUAGUCACCAACACCACUGUAGAGAUUAACUCUGAAGAAUUUAGGUUGCCUGUCGAGGAUAAUCUAGCACUGAUGGAGGUACCUGAAGUAGUGGAAAUAGAUGAGAGUCAAAUGAUGGUAAUGCAAUCUCUAAACAAAGUAUUACAUGAUAUUAUAACACACAACUUAAAGGAUUGUAAAGAGGACGUGCAUUUAGAACACCAACAAAUAGCUAAGGGCGUCAAGGAAUUAGAAGUAACAGAUGAGCUGAUGGAGAACUAUACAAGUGAUGCUGAUCUCUCUCCAAGGAUCUUACAAUCUGUAAGGAAAGGAAAGAAGAAACAACAUAUCGAAUUAAGUCAGUCCAUCCGAGUGCAGCCAAAGAGGAGCAAACCAAAUCUUAAAUAUCACUGAAGGCAUUCAUUUGGAAUAUCAGAUCAGUGAAGUCUCAAAAGGCUUUUCAGAGAGUUCAAAUGCUACACAAGUCUCACAAGUUUACCUUUAUUGGUUUACUUGAACCAUUUCAACAAUAUAGGCACAUCAAUAAAUACAGAAGGAGAUUAAAGAUGCCAACAACUAUUGCUAAUUGUAAUGGUAAAAUUUGUUUGUUUAUAAAUCAUGAUGUGGACUAUUCUGCAGUGCAAGAUUUAGAAAAACAAAGCACUGUACAAUUAAAGCAACAAGACCACAUUCAAAGUUUUUUGUUACAAUGGUGUAUGCUAAAUGUAGUGUAGUAUUAGAAAGGUUUUAUAGGAGGAAUUAAAUCUUCUGACAGUAGUGAUGAAUAACCCUUGGUUUAUUGGUGGUGAUUUUAAUGUGGUGCUAAAUACAGAAGAGAAAAUAGGGGGUCUUCCUGUUAAUCCUCCGGACUAUGAAGAGUUUGAAAGUUUCAUUGCUUUAUGUGACUUAGCUGAAAUCAGUUUCAAAGGGUGUCCCUUUACAUGGUGGAAUGGAAGGGCUGGGAAUGAUUGUAUUUUUAAAAGAUUGGAUAGGGUACUUCUUAAUUAUGAGAUGGCAAGUUGGUACAAUCAUGCAGAGGUAGAACAUCUUCCUAGAACAGGGCCAAACCAUGCCCCUGUGCUGAUUUCUCUAUCUGAAGUAGUAAGGAGAUACAAACAACCUUUUAAGUUUCUCAAGUUCUAGACUUAUCAUGCUUCUUCAAAGAAGUGGUUAAAGCAGAAUUGGUUGCCUAAUAAUGCUCUUAACUCUUUCAUUAAUUUCAAAGAGAAUGUUAAAAGAGUUAAAUCUGCUCUUACUAUGUGGAGUAGAGAAGUCUUUGGGGAUAUUUUUAAACAACUUAUCAUUAGAGAGAAUAUUGUUAAGAUUAAAGAAAAGUUGUUUGAGGAUGUCCCAACAGCUGAAAAUAGAGAAGUUAUGCAAAGGGCUCAAGAUGAAUACAAAACAUAUUUGCAUGUCGAAGAAAUUUUCUGGCAACAAAAGGCAGGAUAUGACUGGUUUGAGAAUGGAGAUAGAAAUACAAGGUUUUUCCACAGUAUUGUCAAGGGUAGAAAGAAGAAACUACAAUUAAAAGAAUUCAGAGUUAGGAAGGUGAUUAAUUGUAAAAGAAAGAUGACAUUGCAGUAGAAGCAGUAAGAUUCUAUAGUGAUCAAUUCUCUCAGGAACGGGAUGCCACUUUAUUUUCUCUACUUAGGCAUAUUCUUGAAAGAAUUAGAGAAGAAGGUAAUAUUGCUCUUUGCAAAUUUCCAGAGUUAGAAGAGGUCAAAAAUAUUGUGUUUAAGUUGAAUGGAGACAGUGCUAGUGGGCCUGAUGGUCUCACUGGUAAUUUUAUCAAUACUGUUGGGAUAUUAUUGAGAAGGAUGUUCAUAGGAUGGUUAUUGAUUUUUUCAAAGGUAACAUUUUUCCUAAAUCAGUCUCUCAUUCUAACUUGGUCUUACUCCCUAAGAAAGAAUUGGUGAAUACUUUCUCUAAUCUUAGACCUAUUAGUUUGAGCAAUUUUAUUAAUAAGAUUAUACCCAGAAUUAUGCAUGAUAGAAUUGAGGAAGUUCUUCCCAAAUUGAUUUUUGUAAACCAGUCAGGUUCUGUGAAAGGAAGAAGUAUUAUUGAGAAUGUGUUGUUAACUCAAGAGAUAGUGACUGAUAUUAAAAAGAGGGGUAAGCUAGCCAAUGUUAUCAUUAAGCCAGAUAUGAUGAAGGCUUAUGACAAAGUCUCAUGGUUCUUCUUGAUGAAGGUUUUAAAGAAGAUGGCUUUUUCUGAAAUUUUUGUUGAUCUUAUAAGUAGACUAAUUUCUAACAAUUGGUAUUCUAUCCUAAUUAAUGGAAAAUUUAAAGGAUUUUUUCAUUCGACCAAAGGGGCGAAACAAGGGGAUCUUUUAUCUCUAGCUUUAUUCACACUCUCAACAGAAGUUCUUAGUAGGUCUUUGAACUUCCUAUUUGAUGAUACUCGAUUUGUGGGAUAUGGAUUUCCAAAGUGGAGUGCUAAUCUUAAUCAUCUUGUGUAUGCAGAUGACACUAUAAUUUUUGCAUCUACAAAUCCCUACUCUCUAAACAAAAUAGAGGCUAUUUUGCAGAACUAUGAAUCUCAAUCUGAUCAAAAUGUUAAUAAGGAUAAAAAUGCCUUUUACAUUCAUCAAAAUAUUACAGAUGAUGAGAGGAAGUUGGUGGAGGAGUGUACAGGUAUUUCUAGAGGUCAAUUUCCUCUAAAAUAUCUUGGAUGCUCUAUAACACACUCAAGGAAGAGAAAAGAGCAUUAUGUUGAUCUUAUAAAUAGAAUGAAAUCUAAGCUAUAGUCAUGGAAAGAGAGCAUGUUAUCUUAUGGUGGUAAAGAGGUUUUGAUUAUAAGUGUUUUUCAAAGUGUUUCGAUUCAUGUGCUUUCAACAAUUGUGCCUCUGAACUGUGUCAUAAAGGAGUUGCAUAGAAUUUUUGCCGAUUUUUAUGGAGUAACAAGGUGACAAGUAGAAGUAAGCAUUGGGCUUCUUGGGUUGAAGUGUGUUUACUUAAACAAGAAGCGAGGUUGGGGUUCAAAUCUCUAUUUGAAAUCUAUCAAGCUAUGCAUGUAAAGCUCUGAUGGAGAUUCAGAACACAAAAUUCUUUACGGUCUCAUUAUUUGUGGAAUAAAUACAGUAAGAAGCAACUUCCAACUCUAGUACAGUGGAAAAGUGGAUCUCAACAAUGGAAAUACAUGCUCCAAAUAGGGACUGUAUUGAAAAAUAUUUGUGGUGGGAACCUAAAGGGGGUUCAUCCACUGUGUGGUAUGAUAAUUGGACUGAUUUCAGACCUUUACAUACUCUUCAGUUAGGUAUUUCUUCGUGCCAUCCUUUGAUAGAUAUUGAAGUGUUUUUGAAGGAUACAGGAUGGGAUUAUAUGGAGAUGGAAAACCAUAUUGCAAUCCAUCUUGUUGAUUUUGUUAAACAACAUAUGAAUUGUGUUACAUUAACUGAUGGGAGUGAUAAACAAUGGUGGCUUAGAACUAGCUUUGGAAAGUUCUCUGUCAGAUCUGCUUGGGAGUUGCUGAGAAAGAAGGUGGAGAUUUUUUAUUAUUUCAAGAAGAUAUGGGUGAAAGGCUUGCCUUUUAAAAUUUCUGUUUUGGGUGGAAAGUGUGGACUAAUACAGUUCCUGUGGCUGCAACUUUAGCAAAAUGGAAUCCUACUAUCUCUCAGUUAUGCUCAUGUUGUUCUAGGCAGGAAAACGAAACAAUGGAGCAUUUAUUUCUGAAAGGAGAGAUUGCUUCUUUUGGUUGGAAUUAUUUUUCUUCUGCUGCAGAUAUUAUUGAUCCCAGAGUUCAGAUUAAACAAACCAUGUCAGUUUGGUGAGAAGCACAAAGUAAUUCUAGAUAAAAAGUGAUUUUUCAAGCUUUACCUAACAUAAUUUUGUGGUUUUUAUGGAAAAGGAGGAAUGCUGUUUUACAUAGGGAGAAGUAUUCAACAGGCAAGUUUCUUUUGGUAUCAUUCAACAGGCAAGUUGCUUUUGGUAUCACCAACACAGUGAAUAAAUUUAUGAAUUUGAAUUUUAAUUAUCCAGUAAUCCCCAAUUCUAGGUUCUAGUGCAACAGCCUUUUGUGUGAGGAAAAAUUAUGGAGGAUUGUUGUGAGCAAAAGGUAAAAAAAUUAGCAGAAUCUACUAAUUUAGUAGCUGAAUCCAUCGGUAUUAGGGAAGGAAUUCAGUACUGCUGGGAGAAGGGAUAUUCUAACAUUAGCAGGCAAAAGGCUCUAUUGACAGUAAGAGUACAACACUCCUUUAGGAGGGGAAAUACUCUUGCUAAUUAUUUUUCUAACCUAGUUUUUGAUUUUGCAGGUACCUACGAAUUUCAUAAUUUUCAGGAGGUCCCAUUAAAAGGAAAGAAAAUCAUUCUUCUUGAUAAGCAGAGUUGUCCUAAUUUGAGGAUCAGACAAAAUAUAGAUGCAGGUGCAACAUCAUAGGGUUAUUGAUACAGUUAAACAAUGGCUAUAAUGGACAAUAAUCAUUCAAAUAAGUAAACAACUACUAGUAUACUUGUGAUAUCUGAAUAGUUUUUGGUUGGUCACUAUACCAUGCACCUAGUGAGAGCUUAAGGUGUUAAAUAUGGUAUGUUACCAGGACUCAUGGGUUAUUAGUAAACACGUUUACUUGUCUUAAUGAUUGGUGUUCAUUCACAGAAGGUAUUCAAUCACAGAAUGUAUGACUAAUUCUAAGAGGUGUUAGAUUUUGAGGAUAUCAACUUAAGAUUGUGGUAUCAACCUAAUUUAGGUUUAAUCCACUAAAGAUGAUAUUUAAAGAAAAGCAACGAUAGCUUAUGGAAAGCUGAGGGGAGGUUUCAGUAGCUUAAAUGAGCAAUUGCAUGAUAUGAAUGAAAAUUCUGCUUCACUAUUCAGUUUGCUGACCUAAGAGCAUUAGGUGGAACACAGCUGGCUGGACAAACUAUCCGUCUUUUAUGGGGACGUAGUCCUUCCAACAUGCAGUAAAUUAUGGGUAUACAUCAUAUGAUACCGCUACUGCCUAUGGUUAUGCUCAACUUGCUCAGGAUCCAAAUCUAUAUUAUGGGGGUUGUGCUAGGUAUGGAAAUUACACUCCACAGCAGUAAACUGUAGUGAUUUGAUGGUUAAAGGAGUUAGUAAAUUAAAUCACUUAAGAGGUAAAAUGAAAUACUUACCAAGGUUUUCUUAGAUCUAAAAAUCGAUUGAGGAAUCCCGAUCGUUUUGAGAUCUUGAGAAAAGAAUUUUUUAGAAGAAUUUCAUUUGCAUGGAGUUUUAGAAAGUAUGGAGAAUAUCAACUCAACAAUUGUACCCAUCAGUAGCAACAGUUCGUGUAGAUUUUUGGAGAGUACUGGAACUUUCCUAUUUGGAUUUUGCUUAGGACCAGAUACUCUUGGUCGAUUUGUUGUUGGUUUGUAUGGACCGGGUCACUUUUGACUGGGUUUGUAAACAAUUCU